UUGAAAAAAAAAAAAGUAUUAAAAAGAGCAAAGAACCGCAAUCCUACUUUGUGCCACAAAAGGGAAAAUCCAGACACAUUGGCGAAUGAGAGCGAGGGCUACCGUGUGAAUCGACGUUGGUGCCUGGAAGAAGGGCACUGCCAUAUAGACACUUAAAAUACGUCGUACAGAACAAGUCAUUGGGCAGCAGGCCGGUCAGCGGGACAGCCCUUCUGUACCCUGGUAACAUAUUUAGUAAAUCCGUCCCCAGUGGGACGUAGAAGGUAGACCAGGAGCCCAGUGAGACUCUAACUCAAUGGGAAGUAGAUGGAGGCAGUGAUGCGUGUUAGAUACUGUUAUCUGCCUUUAGCAAGAUACCGUAAGUGACAGCUCAGAGGAGAACUGCUUGGUUUUCUAGAAGACAUAGAAAGGUAUUAAGGAAUUCUGAUCCAGGUCCUUUUAGGGUUAGAAAAGCGGACUGUCCCUAGACCCUCAGGAACAAGACUGGAAAGUGUUAAGUGACAAAGUUACUAAAAGAUCUCUGAUUUCAAAAAAGAAAUGACACAAUUUUUCCGCAAAGAUGAGAUUAAGGGUUCUAAGCUUAGUGUUUCAGAGAGCAGUCAGAUAGUCCUUAGUCGAGAGAGAGGGGCACACACGUGAGGAGGCAAAAAGAUACAUCAUCCUUGAGAGUUUUAUACAGGAAGGAACUCGAGUGCGGAAUUUACAAUACGGGAACCAGAAGCACGUAUAGCAAAAAGGUCACCUUUUAAAGGUAAUGGUUAUUGUUAAGGAAACCAUGGGCAUGGAUAAAAAGAAGACUUUGAUCCUUAAAACAAGCAAUCCCUCCGAGUGUCCCUGCAGGAAGCCCAGAUAACUUAUCUUUCUGGUUUACAGGUUGCCGCUGGACCAUAAGGAGCCAUGUUUCAACCGGAUACAAAAGACCGUGUAUCGCGUGGAGAUCUUAGAUCCUUUUCUCUAGUCAGGGCCUGCCCCAGAUGUGUUUCCAUUGACUCUUAGCCCCAUUCCAGGCAAGAUCAUUCAACACACAAGAGUGACUUUCCCUCGUUUCAGGGAGCAAGUUUCUUACUGGUGUAAAAUCGCAAAUUCCGUAUUUUUUAGAUGUCUUUAGGGACUAUGGGUGCCAAGCAACCAGCGGUGACGUCAGAGGGCUAUUUUAUCACAGAAGCUAUCCAAAAAAAGAAGGAGACAGUCCUGGCUUCCUUGCGCUUUAUGCAACAAUCAUUUCACAUCGAUAAAAAUGGAAACAGGAAAUAAAAGACUCUAAUAGC